rnacentral:rRNA from 1 species
UGGGGAAUAUUGCACAAUGGGGGAAACCCUGAUGCAGCGACGCCGCGUGGAGGAAGAAGGUCUUCGGAUUGUAAACUCCUGUUGUUGGGGAAGAUAAUGACGGUACCCAACAAGGAAGUGACGGCUAACUACGUGCCAGCAGCCGCGGUAAAACGUAGGUCACAAGCGUUGUCCGGAAUUACUGGGUGUAAAGGGAGCGCAGGCGGGAAGACAAGUUGGAAGUGAAAUCUAUGGGCUCAACCCAUAAACUGCUUUCAAAACUGUUUUUCUUGAGUAGUGCAGAGGUAGGCGGAAUUCCCGGUGUAGCGGUGGAAUGCGUAGAUAUCGGGAGGAACACCAGUGGCGAAGGCGGCCUACUGGGCACCAACUGACGCUGAGGCUCGAAAGUGUGGGUAGCAAACAGGAUUAGAUACCCUGGUAGUCCACACUGUAAACGAUGAUUACUAGGUGUUGGAGGAUUGACCCCUUCAGUGCCGCAGUUAACACAAUAAGUAAUCCACCUGGGGAGUACGACCGCAAGGUUGAAACUCAAAGGAAUUGACGGGGGCCCGCACAAGCAGUGGAGUAUGUGGUUUAAUUCGACGCAACGCGAAGAACCUUACCAAGUCUUGACAUCCUGCGACGGACAUAGAAAUAUGUUUUUCCUUCGGGACGCAGAGACAGGUGGUGCAUGGUUGUCGUCAGCUCGUGUCGUGAGAUGUUGGGUUAAGUCCCGCAACGAGCGCAACCCUUAUGGUCAGUUACUACGCAAGAGGACUCUGGCCAGACUGCCGUUGACAAAACGGAGGAAGGUGGGGAUGACGUCAAAUCAUCAUGCCCUUUAUGACUUGGGCUACACACGUACUACAAUGGCGUUAAACAAAGAGAAGCAAGACCGCGAGGUGGAGCAAAACUCAGAAACAACGUCCCAGUUCGGACUGCAGGCUGCAACUCGCCUGCACGAAGUCGGAAUUGCUAGUAAUCGCAGAUCAGCAUGCUGCGGUGAAUACGUUCCC